rnacentral:rRNA from 1 species
UACGGCGGGGACUAGCGUUGUUCGGAAUUACUGGGCGUAAAGGGCGCGUAGGCGGACAGUUAAGUCAGAGGUGAAAGCCCAGGGCUCAACCCUGGAAUAGCCUCUGAUACUGGCUGUCUUGAGUGCGGGAGAGGUGUGUGGAACUCCGAGUGUAGAGGUGAAAUUCGUAGAUAUUCGGAAGAACACCAGUGGCGAAGGCGACACACUGGCCCGUAACUGACGCUGAGGCGCGAAAGCGUGGGGAGCAAACAGG